UACAGAGGGUGCAAGCGUUAAUCGGAAUUACUGGGCGUAAAGCGUGCGUAGACGGUUAUGUAAGUCGGGUGUGAAAGCCCCGGGCUCAACCUGGGAAUGCCAUUCGAGACUGCAUAGCUAGGGUGCGGAAGAGGGAAGCGGAAUUUCCGGUGUAGCGGUGAAAUGCGCAGAUAUCAGGAGGAACACCGGUGGCGAAGGCGGUUCUCUGGGCCUGUACUGACGCUGGAGGAACGAAAGCGUGGGGAGCGAACAGG
rnacentral:rRNA from 1 species